GUGUGGCAUAAGUGGUCCUAUGUAGCUGCAACUAGGACCAAUGUUCAUAUAUGUUGUUAUUAGCUAGGGUACCAAUAGUAUAUAAUGGCUUAUGUGUUCCUUGCUAGUAAAAAACAAUGCUCUGUGUUGGCCCAAGUGGCACGUUUGGGUGCAAUGUGUCAAUAUUGGUGCAUUUGGCCCUUAUGGCAUCUAUGAGGCCAAAAAGACCAUGAUUAGUGAAAAGCCAUGAAGAUUAGUGAAAAAAAUUACUGUACAUGCUAAAUUUUGUGUAAACUAAAUAACAUUUUUGCAUGCUUGCUUGACUUUGUCAUGAAAUGCACUUUAAAAGCUUGGGGGAAUUUCACAUAUUUCAUGUUGUACUUGCUUCACAAAGUGGACAGUGUAGUUCGAAAGUUCUAGACGGGAGCAGUUGAUGUACCUGAGCUUUUAUACGACAUGGAAUCUGGUGUAGGCCAAUGAUCCAACUACGCUUGGUGUGUCAACAAGGUCCACCAUAAGACAAACAGAGUGUAAUGCAUCAUGUGCCACCUGUUUUCGAUGGGUGGCUAGGGGGUAGACCAUGCAGGCGAUAUUUCUUUUUCGCUUCAAAAUGCCAUAAGGAUUAUAAAUGUUAGCCAAAUUUAAAACCAUUGUGAAUGCAUUCUUGAUUUUCUCAUGGGAGAUCAUGAAAUAAAGUUGGCAUCAUAUGUGGAUAUUGUAAACACGGAGGUGCUCCAAUACGCGCCCUUCCCUGGGGUAACAUGGCAUCCUCUGAGAAGACACAUGCUGGAUUGCACCGCCUUCCUCGUAACCACCCGUGGGAUCGGGGUCUCCUACCACCGUCAUGACCGCUCCAAUAUAAGAUCGGAGACAUCAGGCAUUACACGCUUUUCAAAAUCUCCGGACACCGUCAUCGCCAUUGUCAGGAGAUUCUUGGAAGGAAUUUGUUAGAGUUUACACGCUAUAUGUGGGUCAGGAGAUUACGUCAAUACCGACAAUUCAGAAGUACCAAGUAGCAUUGUGACAACUGGGAAUUUGCCUAUCAUACAUCCAACAUACUACCAAUUGUCCAAUGAAAAAAGAGAUAUUAUUGACAAUGUCGUUGUAACUGAGGGGACAAGCUUAAACUGGAGAAUAAUGGAGUAUGUCAUACGCCAAGUGAUGAACCUUGACAAGUUAGUGGAGCAUCAUGAUGCAGGAAACUAUGAUCAAGGAAGAGCAUAUGGAUUCCUCCAUACGUUGGCAUGGUCAGAUUCGACAAGAACUUCUCGAAACUGCCUCAUCGUGUUGUCCCCGAAGACAUGGAUGAAUAUGGUGCCAUAACCAUUGUUUGUCAUCCACACACUAAUGUGUCAAGUACAUACACCAUUUGUGAUAUUAAUGGUCAUGUCCGCGUCAACAAAUGGAACAAGAUCAUCAAGAAGGAAAAAAUCUUAUUGUUAGGACACAAGGUGUUGAUGUUGAUGUACCUGGGAGAUCAUGGGAUUUAUCUGUUUGUUCCCCAUGUUCCUGAUGUGCCUCUUGAGUAGUUUUGGCAAAAUGUAGUGUGCCAAAAUAAAUUAAGGGAUUUUUAAGUCAUUGAUGUAAUGAGGUACUUUAUUUUUAUUUCAUGAUACUCUUG